rnacentral:rRNA from 1 species
UACAGAGGUCCCAAGCGUUGUUCGGAUUCACUGGGCGUAAAGGGUGCGUAGGCGGUCGGGUAAGUCUGAUGUGAAAUCUCACAGCUUAACUGUGAAACUGCAUUGGAUACUAUCCGGCUCGAGGAAUGGAGGGGAGACUGGAAUACUUGGUGUAGCAGUGAAAUGCGUAGAUAUCAAGUGGAACACCAGUGGCGAAGGCGAGUCUCUGGACAUUUCCUGACGCUGAGGCAC